rnacentral:rRNA from 1 species
AGCGAACGCUGGCGACAGGCCUAACACAUGCAAGUCGAACGAACUCUUCGGAGUUAGUGGCGGACGGGUGAGUAACACGUGGGAACGUGCCUUUUGGUUCGGAAUAACUCAGGGAAACUUGUGCUAAUACCGAAUGUGCCCUUCGGGGGAAAGAUUUAUCGCCAUUAGAGCGGCCCGCGUCUGAUUAGCUAGUUGGUGAGGUAACGGCUCACCAAGGCGACGAUCAGUAGCUGGUCUGAGAGGAUGACCAGCCACACUGGGACUGAGACACGGCCCAGACUCCUACGGGAGGCAGCAGUGGGGAAUCUUGCGCAAUGGGCGAAAGCCUGACGCAGCCAUGCCGCGUGAAUGAUGAAGGUCUUAGGAUUGUAAAAUUCUUUCACCGGGGACGACAAUGACGGUACCCGGAGAAGAAGCCCCGGCUAACUUCGUG